AUUUAAGUAGUUUAUAUAAAAUAAUGAUUUGUGGUAUCAUAGAAAUUUUUUAUCUUAAAUU
rnacentral:tRNA from 1 species